rnacentral:lncRNA from 1 species
UGGAGGUUGAAUCUCAAAUUCCUGCUCAUCAUCAUCCUCAUCUAAAUUUAUCAUAUCUCCAAGAUAAAAUUUCAUUCUUGCAGGAAUUUGUUUAAUAAUUGAAGGCAUAAUAGUCAUUUGAUUAUAAAUUUCUCUUUUAUGCUCCUUAUGACUAUCUCGUGCUUCCUCUUCUUCUUCUCCUCCACUGCUGCUGCUACUCUCAAUGGCUUCACCUUCCUCCUUUUGAUCACUUCUUCCAAUCUCUACAACUUCCCUGUCAGCUCUUUCUCCAUCACUUGUCA